AUUGAACGCUGGCGGCAGGCCUAACACAUGCCAGUCGAGCGGAUGAAGGGAGCUUGCUCCUGGAUUCAGCGGCGGACGGGUGAGUAAUGCCUAGGAAUCUGCCUGGUAGUGGGGGAUAACGUCCGGAAACGGGCGCUAAUACCGCAUACGUCCUGAGGGAGAAAGUGGGGGAUCUUCGGACCUCACGCUAUCAGAUGAGCCUAGGUCGGAUUAGCUAGUUGGUGGGGUAAAGGCCUACCAAGGCGACGAUCCGUAACUGGUCUGAGAGGAUGAUCAGUCACACUGGAACUGAGACCCGGUCCAGACUCCUACGGGAGGCAGCAGUGGGGAAUAUUGGACAAUGGGCGAAAGCCUGAUCCAGCCAUGCCGCGUGUGUGAAGAAGGUCUUCGGAUUGUAAAGCACUUUAAGUUGGGAGGAAGGGCAGUAAGUUAGUACCUUGCUGUUUUGACGUUACCAACAGAAUAAGCACCGGCUAACUUCGUG
rnacentral:rRNA from 1 species